AUUACCUUCAGCGGAGAGUAUCGAGCUUCCUCAUCUCUCUCCGAUCGAGUCAUAGUUCCUCUCGAUCAACAGGAGAAUCGAAUCUUCAACUUGUGGAGGCAAUGAUUAGGGUUCGAGCGUCUUUCUUGUUCAAAUUCAGGCCUUUGAUCGAGCUAAUCACUGGAUUUUGAGGGUUUCUUGAUCAGGCCUUUGAUCGAGCUCUGAAGUUUUAAUCCGCUGAGCUCGCUGAAGAGACGUCCUCAGUUACUAUGUCUUUGAAUGAAUUUACUGCAUGCGAUGAUGGUAGUGAAUCUGGUAAUGAAACUAUAUCUAUACGUAAAAGAAGAGCAAAAUCAAAAGUUUGGGAGUAUUUUACUGAGUUGCCUGUUGAUAGUGAUGGGAAAGCUAAAGUUCAGUGCAAGAAAUGUGACCAAGUUUAUGUUAGUGGUUAUGAUACCACAAAUAUGUUGAGGCAUAUUCAUUCUUGCCCAAAACGAGAUAUAGAUGAGGCUGAUUCAUCGUGGAAAACCAUGCCAUUAGAUCAAGAUAAUUACAGAGAAAUGUUGGCUAGGGUCAUUGCAUUGCAUGGUUAUUCGUUCUGUUU